UUGAUAAUUGUUUGGAAACAUAGAUAACAAUAUUUUUAAACUUCUUUUUAUUCACACAUUUAGUCAUUGCAUUUACAAUAAAUUAAAUUCUUCCUUUUUGUAUUUCUUUUUAUUUACGGAUUCUGUCAAUGCAUUUAAAAUAAAUUAAAUUUAAUUAUAAUUCCAAAGCUUAUCUAACCAAAUCGAUAUUCAUAUAUUGACCAUUAUUAAUAGUGCGUGAAUAUUAACUAAAUCACAUGUAUUAAAGGGAGAGAACUUUUUUUUUUAUAUUACAUCAAAUUGUAUCAAAUUAUAUAUAUUUUUAAUAUAAUAUUAUGUAAACAUUAAAAAAUAAUAUUAUCAAACAUCUAUUAUAAAAUAAUAUAUUCUACACUAUAUGUAAAUUACAAAACAUAAAAAAUAUACAUGAGACUUUUUUUAUAAAACAUGUGGUUUAUGAGUUUACGUUGAACACAAGUUAAAUCAAACACAUGCGCGGAGAUACGGGUAAAGUUCUAGUUAAGAAUUAUGCAAGGGAAAUGGAGUCAUGUUUCUAACAUACUGUUGGUUCUUUUCACUUUUGAUCUUCUAACUUGUUUUUAUAAUAUUUCUAAAAACUUGUUUUUACAAAAUAUAAACA
rnacentral:lncRNA from 1 species